rnacentral:rRNA from 1 species
AUACAUGCAAGUCGAGCGCGUGAAACACACGGAUCCCUUCGGGGUGAUGUGUGUGGAUCGAGCGGCGGACGGGUGAGUAACACGUGGGCAACCUGCCUGUAAGACUGGGAUAACUUCGGGAAACCGGAGCUAAUACCGGAUAGUCUUUUGCACCGCAUGGUGCGAAAGGGAAAGAUGGUUCUGCCAUCACUUACAGAUGGGCCCGCGGCGCAUUAGCUAGUUGGUGAGGUAACGGCUCACCAAGGCAACGAUGCGUAGCCGACCUGAGAGGGUGAUCGGCCACACUGGGACUGAGACACGGCCCAGACUCCUACGGGAGGCAGCAGUAGGGAAUCUUCCACAAUGGACGAAAGUCUGAUGGAGCAACGCCGCGUGAGUGAGGAAGGUUUUCGGAUCGUAAAGCUCUGUUGUUGGAGAUGAACAAGUGCCAUAGGAAAUGAUGGCGCCUUGACGGUAUCCAACCAGAAAGCCCCGGCUAACUACGUGCCAGCAGCCGCGGUAAUACGUAGGGGGCGAGCGUUGUCCGGAAUUAUUGGGCGUAAAGCGCGCGCAGGCGGCUUCUUAAGUCUGAUGUGAAAGCCCGUGGCUCAACCACGGAGGGUCAUUGGAAACUGGGAAGCUUGAGUGCAGAAGAGGAGAGUGGAAUUCCACGUGUAGCGGUGAAAUGCGUAGAUAUGUGGAGGAACACCAGUGGCGAAAGCGGCUCUCUGGUCUGUAACUGACGCUGAGGCGCGAAAGCGUGGGGAGCAAACAGGAUUAGAUACCCUGGUAGUCCACGCCGUAAGCGAUGAGUGCUAGUGUUUAAGGGGGGUCCAACCCCUUAGUGCUGAAGUUAACACAUUAAGCACUCCGCCUGGGGAGUACGACCGCAAGGUUGAAACUCAA